AUUCAGAUUUCAAUCGAUUCGCAUCUAACUUUAUCAAAAAUGAAUUUUUAUUUAAAAAUUUGCGCUGUAUUUUUCAUAUUUUGCACUUUGCAUAUCAAUUCAUCGGAAUCUCAAGGACAGCAUAGUCGUACAUAUUUUUUCAAUCACGAACGUACUUACGGAAAAUAUCUCGGAUGCUUUCAAGACGACGCAAACCAAAGAAUGUUUAGACGACAUUUUCAGUUUGGACAACCUGCAACUAUAGAGCAAUGUAUCUCAUUUUGCGCAAAUGAAGGAUUUAUGUAUGCAGGAAUUCAAGAUCAUGAGCAUUGUUUUUGUGGUAAUUACCCGCCAAAUCCAUCAACUCACAAAAAGUUACAUGAUAAUGCCUGUGAUAUGUGGUGCAAUGGAGCUUUUCAUCAAAUUUGUGGAGGCAAUGGGAAGAAUAGUGCUUACGAAACAGGAAAUCAAAUUUUUAUAAAAAAUGCAAAUGGAGUCGAUUUUUUCCCGCCAAGUGAUGAUUAUUGGAAACAUUAAAUUUAUUUGAUUUUUUUUUAUGUGAAAAAUAAAAUAUUUUUU